rnacentral:rRNA from 1 species
CCUACGGGAGGCAGCAGUGGGGAAUAUUGCACAAUGGGGGGAACCCUGAUGCAGCGACGCCGCGUGAGUGAAGAAGUAUUUCGGUAUGUAAAGCUCUAUCAGCAGGAACGAGACAAGACGGUACCUGACUAAGAAGCCCCGGCUAACUACGUGCCAGCAGCCGCGGUAAUACGUAGGGGGCAAGCGUUAUCCGGAAUCACUGGGUGGAAAGGGAGCGUAGACGGCUGAGCAAGCCUGAAGUGAAAGGCGGGGGCCCAACCCCCGGACUGCUUUGGGAACUGUACGGCUGGAGUGCAGGAGAGGUAAGUGGAAUUCCUAGUGUAGCGGUGAAAUGCGUAGAUAUUAGGAGGAACACCAGUGGCGAAGGCGGCUUACUGGACUGUAACUGACGUUGAGGCUCGAAAGCGUGGGGAGCAAACAGGAUUAGAUACCCGUGUAGUC